UGUUAUGGCCACAUCACCCUGAAAGCCCCUGAUCUUGUCAGAUCUCAGAAACUAAGCAGCAUUGGGCCUGGCUAGUACUUGUGUGGGAGAUCUCCUAGGAAUCCCAGGUGCUGUAAGCU
ensembl:rRNA 5S_rRNA 5S ribosomal RNA